AACACUGUUAACCUGCGGUACCUGCGGAGGGAUCAUUAAAGAUUGACCGAAAGGUCUUAUCUCUAUAUCCCUCACCUCUGUGAACUGUGGACCUCCGGGUCUAUUUAACAAACAUCAGUGUAAUGAACGUAUAUAUCAUUAAACAAAACAAAACUUUCAGCAACGGAUCU
rnacentral:misc_RNA from 1 species